ensembl:lncRNA
GAGGAAGUGGAGGAGGACCUGUGCUCCAGUUGCUGUCCCAGAGUUUAGAAACAGGACUGAGAUCUCUGCAAGUAUGUCUGUCACCAUUUUUCAUCCUCAUCAUGCAAGCCAUACACUGGAAUCCAGGCAUUACCAGCCUCACUUUUUAGAGGCUCCAUCCUGAGGCUGGCUCUGCUUGUGGUCAGAAGAGUCUUCUUCACUCAUCGCUGAUGUGGACAGAAAGGUUGAUGCCUCCAGCAGAUGUUUCCUCCAAGCUCCUUGGCCAGACCAGGUUGUAUACCCACUCCAGAACCAUUCACUGGCGGGGAGAAUGGUGUCCUUGGAACAAUCAGUCUCGCCCUUGACUGGAGGUCAACUACCCCAAAACAUUGCUGCGUCUCCACAGGGAAGGUGUUGGGCAAUGAAGUGCAAUGCCCAGUAGAUGCCCCACAGGCCUGGGAGUGAAAUGACUUGCUCCAAGCCAUGUCUAUCUCAAGUCCAAAGCCCCUGUGUGUGGGGGGGCCCAAGAGCAGCCCUCCUCUGCUUCCCUGUCCCCUUUUCACUCCAUUGUGCUGCCUUACGAGGCAAGAAAAGGGCAGGAAGGAGGAAUGCGAAGCUGAGUUUCAGGUGCCCUUUGAAGCAAUGAAGUUGCAGAAGGAAAAGCUGGGAUUAUUAAAGACAUCUCCCCCUCCGCCUCUCCUUCUUCCAGAUGGCCUUCACAUUCCACUGGGAUGUGGGCCACUGGGCACCAUUUUACAGGGAUCAGCUCACAGCCUCUGAGGGCCUUUCAGUAUUUCAUUAAUAACCCCCUUCUGUCUGGAGCUCAUCUUCUGGCUUUUGUUGAACAAUGGUGCUGGGGAAGCUACAUGUGACAAGAUGUGAUCCCUGCCUGUGACCUUGUGCAGUAUGAGAUUGCUGCACAGACGAAAUAUUACCUGGAAAACAGGAAUGCCCUAUCUAUUAGCAUCUCACGGAACUACACUGCCCCCUGUGGCCAAAACCAGCCAGGAUGCAUAACAACAAGGACAACAAACUUGCCUACAAAGAGCCUUCCUUCCCAGGACCCAGGAAUAGCCCGUGAGCAGCAGAACUGCUUUGUCAGGAUCCAUCUACUCAGCAAAAAUGGGUCCCUCCAGGAUGCAAACCUGCAAGUGGGGCUGUCAGGUUGCUUCAUGGUACCCAAACAAAAUGCCCCAUCCAUGGGGUGAGCUGAUGGAGAGCUGGUGGGCGUGAAGAACCAGGCCCUGAGGCCUGAAGGAUUUGCUCAUCUCCUCUGCUUUCCUGUCCCCUCCCUCCUUUUGGAUGAAGUCCUGAUUCUGCAGAACACCAUGGGCCCUGCCGAGAGGCCUCUGCCUCUACUUGUCCCUCCAGUUUCAGGCCUCUUCGUGGUCCCCUGUCCACCGCCUCCUUCCUGCCUGCAUGCUCAGGCCCCAGACUAACCACUCCCAUUCUUCGAGAGCCUGCCCCUGCCCCCUCCUCCCUGAGAACCCAUCCCCGGCCGUCUCCCUCCGUGAUGCCCUGCGCCCUCCCAGCCUUUAGCCCAGCGGUGGGGCAACUUGCAUUGUCCUCACUUCCCUUGCCGGAGACUGCGUUCUCCAGGAAGGUCUGAGGUCUUGAAAGGGAAGGACUGUGCCUUUUAUUCUCUUUCCGUCUUCCCUCAAGCCCACGGAGUCCAGUCUGCCUCUCCCUUCCUGCUGCCCCGUGAACGCCCCUGCGACCUCAGGGUGAUGGGAACACAGGACAGAGGCCCUGGCUCAGGGCCCCUUCUUGCUCCAGGCUGCCCCAAGAUCCGGGCCACCACUAGAACAUGGCCAGCCUGCUGGGGAGACCGGAAAGCAUUUCUCCAGCAUUUGGUUCUGGGCUUCAUUGAAUCAAACUCUUCCUUCUAAAAAUAAGUCAUAGAGUCUCCUGAGGGAGAGGCCCAAGCAGGCAGGCAGCUCCUGAUGGAGCCGCCCGUGCUGGGGCCUGUCACCUGCUCCCAGGUGGCAGCCCCAGGGGCAGCUCUGCCCCCGCCCCCAGGUCAGCCCACAGCCCAGAGGGUGGGCGUGGGGGGCUCUCACCUGGGGAGUUCAGGCGGCAAACUGCUGCCAUCUUGUCCUGUUCAGGGCGGAGAAAGUGCAAACACACACAUGGUUAAGUUCUCCGAGGCAUUAGAGUCGCCCUUGAGCACUGGAGUUUCAGGCUCAGGGUAGAGCUGUGAUCUGAAAGAAAAAGACCCUAAACCAGGAUUUUGGAGAUGAUGGGUGAGAAUGAAGCCAAGACAGGUUCUCUGUCACCCACAUGUUAAAUAGCAAGCUCCUCGGCCGGGGUCUCGUUAGUGACCCUCAGGACCCCUCCCCCCACGCACACGUGGACUCAUCAUCCUCCCUCUUCCCAACUGCCCCCAGCCUGUCCCAGCCUCUGCCACACGCACACGCUGCUCCCUCUGUUCCGGGGUCCUUCUCCCCAUCUCUGCCUAAUGUCUAACCUAUCUGGCCAGGCUCAGACAGGUUCUCCAGAGACUGUUGGUUAAAACAUGAGCUUUGGUAACAAACUGGAGUGUGAGUCUCUGCUUUGCCACUCACUAGCUGGGUGACCUUAACGUAGUGGUUGGGAGAUCACAGUUCUGCUAGCUGCGUGGCCUUGGGCAAGUUACCUAACCUCUCUGUGCCUCAACAUUGUCAUCUAUAAAAUGAAGCUAAUAAAAGUGCCUAUGUGUUGUGCUUUC